GAUCCUGGCUCAGAAUCAACGCUGGCGGCGUGCCUAACACAUGCAAGUCGAACGCGAAAGUCCCUUCGGGGAUGAGUAGAGUGGCGUCCGGGUGAGUAACGCGUGGGUAAUCUACCUUCGGGUGGGGAAUAACCCAGGGAAACUUGGGCUAAUACCGCAUAAUGCAGCGGCUCGACAUCGAGACAGUUGUUAAAGCAGCAAUGCGCCUGAAGAGGAGCCUGCGUCUGAUUAGCUUGUUGGUGAGGUAAUGGCUCACCAAGGCUACGAUCAGUAGCUGGUCUGAGAGGACGGCCAGCCACAAUGGCACUGAAACACGGGCCAUACUCCUACGGGAGGCAGCAG
rnacentral:rRNA from 1 species